rnacentral:misc_RNA from 1 species
AACGCACAUUGCGCCCUCUGGUAUUCCGGAGGGCAUGCCUGUUCGAGCGUCAUUAUAACCAAUCACGCAAGUGGUAUUGGGGCUUGCUCUUUAGCAUCCCUUAAAACUAGUGGCGGUGCCAUAGGGCUCUUAGCGUAGUACAUAUUCCGCUCUUGAAACCUAGACACACCUGUCAAACCCCCCAAACUUUUCAAGGUUGACCUCGGAUCAGGUAGGGAUACCCGCUGAACUUAA